GCCUACGGCCAUACCACCCUGAACACGCCCGAUCCCAUCUGAUCUCGGAAGCUAAGCAGGGUCGGGCCUGGUUAGUACUUGGAUGGGAGACCACCUGGGAAUACUGGGUGCUGUAGGAU